CACUGCUAUUGGAGUCCGACUAAGGCAUGCAAGUCAAGGAUUGGCCUACCAAUCCUGGCGGACGGCUGAGUAACACGUAGUCAACCUACCCUAAGGGCGAGGAUAACCUCGGGAAACUGAGGACAAUACUCGAUAUGAAAUAAGUACUGGGAUGUCUUAUUUCAGAAAUGGAUAGGGAAAUGGCCUUAUUCCACCUUAGGAUGGGACUGCGGAGGAUUAUGGUAGUUGGUGAGGUAAUGGCCCACCAAGCCGACAAUCCUUAGGGGCCAUGAGAGUGGGAGCCCCCAGAAGGGUACUGAGACAAGGACCCUACCCCUACGGGGUGCAGCAGCCGCGAAACCUCCGCAAUGCGCGCAAGCGUGACGGGGGGACUCCAAGUGGUAUGGGCUUCGCUCAUAUCUUUUCUGAAGUGUAUAAAGCUUCAGGAAUAAGGGUGUGGGCAAGACCGGUGGCACCGCCGCGGUAACACCGGCGCCUCGAGUGGUGUCCACAAAUACUGGGCCCAAACCGCCCGUAGCCGGUUUAGUAAGUCAUCUGUGAAAUGUUGGGGCUUAGCUCCAACGCUUGCAGACGAUACUGCUAGGCUUGGGAACGGAGGAGGAUAGGGGUACGCUCAGGCUAGUGGUUAAAUGCGCUGAACCUGAGUAGACCACCAGCGGCGAAGGCGCCUAUCCAAGACGUAUCCGACGGUGAGGGGCGAAAGCUGGGGGAGCAAAGGGGAUUAGAGACCCCCGUAGUCCCAGCCGUAAAUGAUGCCCAUUAGGCGCUACUGUCGCUACGUGCGGCAGUGGUGUCGCAGCGAAGGCGUUAAAUGGGCCGCCUGGGGAGUACGGUCGCAAGACUGAAACUUAAAGGAAUUGGCGGGGGAGCACCACAAGGGGUGGAUGCUACUGCUUAAUCGGAUACAACGCCGAGAACCUCACCAGGGGGGACGGCAGGAUGAAGAUCAGGCUAAAGACCUUAUCUAACGAGCCGAGAGGUGCUGCAUGGCCAUCGUCAGCUCGUGCCUUGAGGUGUCCGGUUAAGUCCGGCAACGAGCGAGACCCGCACCCUUAGUUGCUAAUUCAUUCUCCGGAAUGGAUGCACACUAUGGGAACUGCCGUCGUUAAGACGGAGGAAGGAGCGGGCGACGGUAGGUCCGCAUGGCCCGAAUCUCCUGGGCUGCAAGCUGCAUACAAUGGGUGGGACAACGGGUCGCGACUCCGUGAGGAGGAGCCAAUCCUUAAACCCACUCCAAGUUCGGAUUGAGGGCUGAAACUCGCCCUCAUGAAGCUGGAAUCCCUAGUAAUCGCGGAUCAUCAUUCCGCGGUGAAUACGUCCCGGCUCCUUGCACACACCGCCCGUCAAGUCACCCAAGUGCGAUUUCGGUGAGGCCCUCUCUGCAAAGGGAGGCUCGAACCGGGGUUGCGUGAGGGGGGC
rnacentral:rRNA from 1 species